rfam:Asian citrus Psyllid, Diaphorina citri - Florida Strain, whole genome shotgun sequence.
GCUCCCAUGGCGUAGUGGUCACUGCGCUCGCCUUGCACGCGGGAGACCCGGGUUCGAUUCCCGGGGGGUCA